rfam:Fukomys damarensis contig135006, whole genome shotgun sequence.
UGGCGCCCGAACGUGGGGCUCAAGACACGGGGUCUUCACCUGGUGGACGCUGCUCGGAAGAUCGGCCGAUCGACUCCAGGACCUCCGCCCAGUCGGCGAGUUGGCCCCGCAUAGCAGUCCGCUCAGACUCACCCAUCUGAGAAAGCGACCUGCGAGGUAAGUGAGCGGCGCAAAAUAUGGGACAACAAUUAAAUAAACAUCAGUUGUUUGUUGAAGGUUUAACAUCUUCCUUACAGAUGCGGGGAGUUCGGGUUACAAAAAAGGAUCUGAUUAAGUUUUUCAAAUUUGUAGAAGAGACUUGUCCUU